UACGUAGGGAGCAAGCGUUGUUCGGAUUUACUGGGCGUAAAGGGCGCGUAGGCGGCAUAUUAAGUCAUCUGUGAAAUCUCCGAGCUUAACUCGGAACUGUCAGCUGAUACUGAUGUGCUAGAGUGCGGAAGGGGCAAUCGGAAUUCUUGGUGUAGCGGUGAAAUGCGUAGAUAUCAGGAGGAACACCGGUGGCGAAGGCGGGUCUCUGGGCCGAUAUUGACGCUGAGGAGCGAAAGCGUGGGGAGCGAACAGG
rnacentral:rRNA from 1 species